rnacentral:ncRNA from 2 species
GUUUUGACUGUUCUCCGAGCCAUAUUACCUGUAAGUGUUGGCUUAUGGUGUUAUGGCCGUUAGGGUUAGCUGGGAAACUGGUUAGCCUCCCUUGUGGAAAGGAGAGCCUUACCUACCUGA